rfam:Schistosoma rodhaini strain Burundi genome assembly, scaffold: SROB_scaffold0005993
AUCCAGCUCAUGAGUCUCAAAUAAGACGAAACGCGCGUCGCGGAU